AUUGAACGCUGGCGGCAGGCCUAACACAUGCAAGUCGAACGGUAACAGGAAGCAGCUUGCUGCUUCGCUGACGAGUGGCGGACGGGUGAGUAAUGUCUGGGAAACUGCCUGAUGGAGGGGGAUAACUACUGGAAACGGUAGCUAAUACCACAUAACGUCGCAAGACCAAAGAGGGGGACCUUAGGGCCUCUUGCCAUCGGAUGUGCCCAGAUGGGAUUAGCUAGUAGGUGGGGUAACGGCUCACCUAGGCGACGAUCCCUAGCUGGUCUGAGAGGAUGACCAGCCACACUGGAACUGAGACACGGUCCAGACUCCUACGGGAGGCAGCAGUGGGGAAUAUUGCACAAUGGGCGCAAGCCUGAUGCAGCCAUGCCGCGUGUAUGAAGAAGGCCUUCGGGUUGUAAAGUACUUUCAGCGGGGAGGAAGGGAGUAAAGUUAAUACCUUUGCUCAUUGACGUUACCCGCAGAAGAAGCACCGGCUAACUCCGUG
rnacentral:rRNA from 1 species